rnacentral:tRNA from 1 species
GGCCGGUUAGCUCAGUCAGUUGAGCACGGCACUAACAAUGCUAGGGUCGUGGGUUUGAUUCCCAUUCAGUCCC